rnacentral:rRNA from 1 species
UUAGAGUUUGAUCAUGGCUCAGGAUGAACGCUAGCGGCAGGCUUAACACAUGCAAGCCGAGGGGGAAGGCACUUUCGGGUGUGCCGGCGACCGGCGCACGGGUGCGUAACGCGUAUGCAACCUACCUAUUACAGGGGGAUAGCCCAGAGAAAUUUGGAUUAACACCCCAUAAUAUAUUUAAGAGGCAUCUUUUGAAUAUAAAAGUUCCGGCGGUAAGAGAUGAGUAUGCGUGACAUUAGCUAGUUGGUAAGGUAACGGCUUACCAAGGCAACGAUGUCUAGGGGUUCUAAAAGGAUGAUCCCCCACACUGGUACUGAGACACGGACCAGACUCCUACGGGAGGCAGCAGUGAGGAAUAUUGGGCAAUGGAGGCAACUCUGACCCAGCCAUGCCGCGUGCAGGAAGACGGUUCUAUGAAUUGUAAACUGCUUUUAUUCGGGAAUAAACUUAGCUACGUGUAGUUAACUGAAUGUACCGAAAGAAUAAGCACCGGCUAACUCCGUGCCAGCAGCCGCGGUAAUACGGAGGGUGCAAGCGUUAUCCGGAUUUAUUAGGUUUAAAGGGUCCGUAGGCGGGAACUUAAGUCAGUGGUGAAAUCCUGCAGCUCAACUGUAGAACAGCCAUUGAUACUGAAAGUCUUGAGUACAGUUGAAGUAGGCGGCAUGUGUAAUGUAGCGGUGAAAUGCUUAGAUAUUACAUAGAACACCGAUUGCGAAGGCAGCUUACUAAGCUGUUACUGACGCUGAGGCACGAAAGCGUGGGGAGCGAACAGGAUUAGAUACCCUGGUAGUCCACGCCGUAAACGAUGAUUACUCGUUGUGUGCAAUAUACUGUACGUGACUGAGCGAAAGCAUUAAGUAAUCCACCUGGGGAGUACGUCGGCAACGAUGAAACUCAAAGGAAUUGACGGGGGCCCGCACAAGCGGAGGAACAUGUGGUUUAAUUCGAUGAUACGCGAGGAACCUUACCCGGGCUUAAAUGGGAAACGACAGGUUUGGAAACAGACCCUUCUUCGGACGUUUUUCAAGGUGCUGCAUGGUUGUCGUCAGCUCGUGCCGUGAGGUGUCGGGUUAAGUCCCAUAACGAGCGCAACCCCUAUCGUUAGUUGCCAACAGGUCAUGCUGGGGACUCUAACGAGACUGCCAUCGUAAGGUGAGAGGAAGGUGGGGAUGACGUCAAAUCAGCACGGCCCUUAUGUCCGGGGCUACACACGUGUUACAAUGGUAACUACAAAGGGCAGCCACCUGGUGACAGGGAGCUAAUCCUAAAAAGUUAUCUCAGUUCGGAUCGUAGUCUGCAACUCGACUACGUGAAGUUGGAUUCGCUAGUAAUCGCGCAUCAGCCAUGGCGCGGUGAAUACGUUCCCGGGCCUUGUACACACCGCCCGUCAAGCCAUGGAAGCUGGGGGUGCCUAAAGUCCGUAACCGUAAGGAUCGGCCUAGGGCAAAACUAGUAACUAGGGCUAAGUCGUAACAAGGUAGCCAAGGGCGAA